GGCAGGAGGAGGAGGAGGAGCGGAGGGCAGUAGAGAGGGAAACGCUGGUGAGAGAGGUCUUGUGCCGGCUACUCAGUUUUCAGAGGAGGACCUAUCCGCCGCUGGGCCGCCCGAGGACACGCCUGCUUGCUGCCUGGUGGGGGCGAGGAAGGAUACGGCGCCUGAACCUCCACGCCAGAGUAACGAAUGGUUGGUGGCACAAAGGUUUUAAAGAGUUGCUGAGUAAUAUAGUUAAAUGAUUAUAAUACUGCAGUCGAGUUGUUAGUUACGAUUAUUUAAAGUGUGUGACGCGGCGACGCCUGCUUGUUUUUUCACUGCAGGAAUUUGUGGGCCCCGGACUGAGGCGGCAACCUGCUGGGAAGCGCUGAAGCAGUUAAACCCACGAGGCAACAGCAAGAACGGGCUCUCAACGCCGCCUUCGUCUCCAUUGCAGAGCAGAUGGGGUGCAGUUAACAGGGGAGGUUGAAAAUGAACACAGCAUCAGUGCAGCUGGACCAUUCUAGGAGCAUGGGAAGCCGAUGUUGAGAGCAGGACAGCUAGAGGAGGAACGACAUCUGCCUUCAUCUCUUUUUUGCUACUCCAGCACAGGUGGUCACACUGCCGGCGGCAUCUGACAAAUA